GAAACUAGAUCCAGUCUUUGUAGCCAGGGGCUGCAUUAAGGAUUACAUCAGGCUUUUAUAAGCUUUCCAGAUCACACAUUAGAGUGAGAGAGAGAGAGAGAGAGGGAGGGAGGGAGGGAGGGAGGGAGGGAGGGAUGAGAGGGAGGGAUAAAAUGCACACACACAUACACACGCACUGAUCGGAGCUUUGCAAAACAGGCAGCUAUAGGCAAGGACCCUAACUGCCUCGCUGUGGUACCGGGCAUGCUCCGCUAGCCUAUAGGAAGAGAGGAUGGAUGGAUGGAUGGAUGGAUGGAGAAGAGGAGCCAGAGAAAGCCGGAGUGCAUUGGUGGCUGGGCAAAUGCAGCCGCUCCGGGACAGCUUAGCCCAGAGCGGGAAACCAGGAGAGGUGGAAACACCUCUUUUCUCCGACAGAACCACUUCCCUUCCUGCUCAGAGCUGUUGUCCCCAUCAAUGGAGACACCUGACGACCACAGAACAGACCCGCCCCAAGAGACAGAGGCCAAAGAAGCUCAGCACAAGGAAAAAGUACCUGAAAGUGCCACUGUGACAAAACUAAACCCAUUUCCAACCCUCGCUGCUGCAAUGGGGUGUGAUGGAAAUCUCCUCUUUGUGGGACUGGGGAACUGAGGUUGCUGCAAUGAAAAACUUCACUGCAGCCCCUUUGUAUGCAGUCUGAGGUAACCUUCUGGUCCCACAGGGUUAAUAUAUCCACCUCUAAAAUUGCCUGGAAGGAUAACUGCAGUGUAGAGGAACUGAUCCCACUUUGUUGGAAGAGUCCCCUCCUACCAGUGGCAGUCAUCAGAGGAUGGCAAGGGAAGAAAAGAGGGAAUGUCUCAGCUGCUCAAGAGAUCUUUUGGAAGAGGAUAACUGCAAAUCAGGACAGCCCUGCUCCUUUAGGUGCUGAAAAGCCACUAUAAGGUCUCCCCAGAGCCUUCUCUUCUCCAGGCUGAACAACCCCAACACUCUCACCUUUUUGUAUAGGAGAGUUGCUCCACCUCUCUGAACAUUUUUUGGCCUCCUCUGGGCUCACUAUGACAGAAUCAUGUCUUUGUUGUGCUGAGGGCUCCAGACCUGGGUGCAGUGGUCCACAUGAGCUUUCACCAGAAUGGAGCAGAGCGACGGAAUCAUCUCAUCCUGCUGGCCAUAAUCUUGUGAAGAAGGAGGAGGGGUGUGACUGGCUUCUGGGGUACGAGAGAGCACUGCUGGCUCAAGUCAGGAUUUUCAUCCUCUAGUACCAUCGAGUCCUUCUCUCCAGUCUGAUCCCAGUCCCAUGAUCCACCAGCCUGUAUUGAUACCAAAGAUUGCUUCAACCGUUGUGCAGGACCCUGCACUUGGCUCUGUCGAAACCCAUGAGGUUCACACUGGCCUACUCCUCAAGCUUGUCCAGUUCUGCCUGGGUGGCAUCCUGUUUGUGAGGAACGAGUAGGAAGCUAUUAAAAUACAGAGGAUGUUUGUCCUAGAGGGACUUGUACUCUAUCUGCCUGCAUUAUGUGGGGCACAGAGGUAAAGUAAAAACUGGAGCAUCCCCAAAAAAGUCACAUAAAAGAAAUCUCUUUAAAGUUCUCACCUGCUCUUUAUCCUUGUUUGGGAACUGUAUUCACAAGAGGGAAAGUGCUGAAGAGCUUCCAAAAAUAGCUGUGGCAAUAAUAACUGCACCACCAUUACUUUUUCCCACAGUAGUUGUAGGAACCUGCUAGCCACUCUGAAAACCUCGCCGAGCACAAAAGGCUUCUCAGAUGGUGCCAACGCAGAUCCACUUGCAGGGCUUGACUCAGGAAUGUCUUUCCGAAGCAGAGCUAUAGAUGGCACUACGUAGUAUUUACGGAGUUGUUUCCUCCAGUAAAUCUCCUUAUUUAAGCAGAAAGCCAGAGAAUUUCAUUUCCUUGUCGUUACAGCGCUCUCUGAAUGAGAACUCCUAAAUCAAGGGAGAAACUGGAAGCACACAGCAAGAGAAGCUUCCUUGCCUGAGCACCGGCAAAAGGCACUUGAAAUGUAAACCACCUCUGUGGUGUAUAGGAUUCUCUGUCCCCUUUCACAGGGGUGAUAUUUGGAGAGCUGAACAAGAAAACUGUUUUGUCUGCUGGGAGAAAAGGAAAAAAGAAAAGAAAGAGGAAAAAAGAAUAGAAAGAGAAAAAAAAAAAGAGAAAUCUCUCAACUGGCUGCUACAGAAACCUGAAAUAAACUCAAAAUCCCAGGAUUACUGUCAAAAACCAUCAGUAAAGUAUGACAUCAGACAUGGAUCUGAUUCACGCUGGUUAAACCACUUAAUUGCAUUGGAAAUUAUUUGUUGGUGGUGCUUUAAUAUCAUUAGGAUAGCUUUCAAAAUAACUUUAGACUAAUCAUGUUUGAGGGUUUGGGUUUUUUUUUUACAAAAAAUGCCCUCAAUUCUUUUCUCCUUCUUAUAGUAUAGCCCCAAAAGGCUGCAAGGGCAAGCGUGGGGUCCUGCACCCGGGCAGAAGUAACCCCCUGAUCCAGCACAGUUGAAGGGUUGACCUGCUGGAAAGCAGCUCUGCGGAGAAGGGCCUGAGCGUGCUGGCUGGCAAUGAGUUCACUCGUGACCAAGAAAGUCAGCAAUUUCCUGGGGUGCAUAAAGAGGAGUGUGGCCAGCUGGUCAAGGGAGAGAGUGGCAGAUGUCCUCUACUUGCUGAAAGGGAAAAGAAAGGGAAUAAGGGAGAGAGAAUGAUGGGUAAGGAAAAAAAAAGAAGCCAGUUUAAACAAAAAUAAUAACAGUAAAAUGACACAAAUGCCCCCCCAAUACCAAACCCACCCUCUGCUGGCAAUUACAUCACUGUGCAUGUACAUCAUGUGCUGUGGGCAGGCCCCAGGGAAGUCCCAGAUUUGACUCCACAGCAGACGGGAAGUGAGUUCUGGAGCUGGAUUCAGGAACAUGGAGAUUGUGAAGGCAGAACGGUCUGAGUCCUCCUCAGACACCAGUUGGAGAAGAAGCUUGACACUGGUGACCCCUCAGCUUUAUCCCAAAGAUUACAUCCUUGGGAUGGAAUCCCUUGUUGGUUAGUUUAGGGUCACCUGUCCUGUGUGCUUCUUCCCACAGGUGCCACCUCUGACCUUCUGCACCCCAAUGUGGGGCACAAAACAAGUGCCCUUGGUCAGCACAGGAGCAAGUCUAAGGCAGAGCCUUUCUGCAAUCCAGCCCUUGGCAGGAAGUCUCCCCAUCAGUGUUCCCAAUGCUAGAAACAGUCACCAUCUGGGUAAUCCUGCCCUGAACUUCAGAAAGUUCUGUCUCUGAGCAGAGACUGAGUUGAGAUGUCAUCACUGUAAAGAAUUGAUUCUGUCCUAGCUCAGAUCAGGACAGGAUCCAUCUCUACUUUUUCUAUAUUACCAUCCUAAAGUUUUAAGGUUAUUUCCUUUGAAGAGAGCUCAGCAACCAUUUUGUGUUGGUACUCUUCUAAGGGGGAGAGACUUUUCCUCCCUUCUCACAGCUGUUUCGUUUAAUGUGAAUGUAAGUCACAUUAGACAGAAAGAACAUGUUUUCCCCCCUCUGACUGUUGAACAUAACAUCAUGGCUUGUGCAGAAAGCCUGUUUCAAUUACAAGGAACUUUCUUCUGUCCUGUUAAAGCUAAACCUCUGUGAAAUCCAUAUGUACUUGGGGACAGAACAAGAGAACAAAAUUGAAUGUUUAAGUAAGCUUAAGGGACACAGUCAAGUCAUAUUAAACUCAAAACAUACAAGCAAUGCAACUGUUGUAUGGAGUUUCUUCCUCCUCCUCUUCUUCUUCUUCUUCUUCUGAAUUACCCUCAGGUUUUGUAGCCCACUCCAAGAAAUUAAUACAAUUGCUCCAGCUUGAAUGAAACCUGCUUUGUUAUUUUCAUUAUGUACUUUAAUGGAGAGCAAAAUCAUUUAUAUUCAAGGACCUUCAUCCUCUUCCCACUACCAGACCACAGACUCUAGAAUCCACCUCUUUCUCUGAAUAGAGAGAUCUUUUGUGUUUAGAUGGAACCUUUGGAGGCUGCUGAAAAGUUUGGAGGGCAAUAUAAGAGGCAUUUAGGAACCACUGAUGUGCCAUUUGUGGAGGGAAAAGCUGUUUAUCUGCUCUGGAAAAUGUGGACCUAAGGAGAUUAAUCCUGGUCCAGAAUUGUGGGGAUGGCAUUAGCUAUAUCCCCAGCAUCAGCUAUAUCCCUAGUCCUGCUUCAGCUUGAGCAACCUUGGCACCAUAACCUAAAUGCCCACCCAGUGGCUGCAUUUAUUCCUUUCCUCUUUAUAAGUGACAUUUGCCUUCAAAGGAGGCUCUGCUCUUCAGAGCCUCAAUUAAUAAAUAAUGAGCCAUGUCUGCUUGCUUGUU